GCCUGCAGCUGAGGCCUCUUUUGUAUAAUGAUGACAGCAAGGAGCAGAAGUUUAUGAUGCUGUUUCAAGGGAAGCCACAAGGGAGUAAAACAAAAUCAGCAGCUCAUAGGGAUACAUAUGCAACAUUUAAUGAAAAUCAAACUUUUAAAGUGGUCCGAAAUCUGACAGGCGCUGCAUUCUAUUAUGAGUGCAGAAAAAAUAUCACCUUUACACAUUAGCUAAAUGAAACUUCCAAUUUCAAGGUUAAGAAAUGAAGUACUGUGUGAUUCGUUUCAAUGUUCCUGUGUGAACUGUAAAAAGCCUAUCCACAAAUCAUGGUGAACUUUAAAUUACUUUUGCGUGCAUUGUUUUGGUUGAAUGUGUAUAAUUAAUUUAAAAAAAAUUUGUUUAAGAUAACAUUACUGUCAGUUGGCCUUUAUUCUGUUUAUAAUGAAUAGUUUCUGCGCUGCACUAUGCCAAGUGACUGUCGACAGAGCUGCGUCGCUUGCAGUGUUGUCACAGAGUAGUGUGUAGUCAAUAUAGCCUGCAUUUUUUUUUUUUUUCAUUUUUCUUGUCGCGAGCAUUUGAUUUUUUUUUUUGAGCACCUGUUUUCACUCGGAGGUCACAUUUGAAAUUUUGUGAAAGCAAUCACCAUUCAUAUGACAUUCUACCUUUCUCACUGCAAUAGGAAAAAAAUUGGCUGAAGCGAUUCAUAGGUGUCAUGGAAUGUGAGCUUGAAGUAAUGUACGGUUAAGUUGGCCGCAGAGACAAAGCAAUGACAAUAAAUUUGAGACAAGAAACAAGGCUAAAACAAGGUACAUUUUGUUUGUAGAAUAGUGAGCUAUCACAUUUAAGCUGUUUCCUUUGAAUAAGUCAGUGCAGCUUAAGGUUGUUAAUAGCCAACAUGCUAUUAUUUUGAUAGUCUAAUUUAAGUAGUCGUUUGUGCUACCUGCAUCAGCUGAUCAAUAUUUUCUCAAUUUCAGAAGCAGCUAGGAAUGACCUAACGUGGGCUAAUAUCCUGUCACACUAUCAGAACAGUGGCAGACUGGCUGACAACACUGCUGCCUGAGCAUCAUCUGUGCCUCAAAGAAUACUAGAAGCCAUUGAGCCAGCCAAUCCCAGUGUAAGCAGCUGCAUCUUUCCCUGAGGUGGCAUGGAGAAGGAAGUCCCGUAGCUGUGAUCUCAUCGACCAACUUUUUGCAUGGGAGUCCCAGUUGUCCAUAGCAGAUUGCAACAAAGUAUUCCAGGGUGAAAAUCAAGCCGUUCCGGUUAGCGGAAAUGGUGGGUCUCCUAUUCAAAACAUGACUCCAGGGCCCUCAAUGAGCUUUUUGGGCUAAGCCAGCUACAGUUCAGUUGUAAUUCCAGUUGAUAACUUUUGAAAGUACCACAAAUUGGUUUUGUGUGUGCGUGUGUGAUAUGGUAUAAUUUUUGCAGUCAUGACUUAGGAAAAACAAGUCUUUUAGAAUGUUGGUUACUGGAAAUAUAUAUUCAAGAGAGCAUUGUGAAUGCAUCUUUGCUACAUUUUAAGCUUACAAUUCAGUUCAAGUCAUAGCCUGUACUUUUUCUGGACUCGUUGUGUUAUUUGAAAAGAAAGUCCACUACCAUUUCACGAUGCUCUAAAAAAAAGUUAAUCGGUCCUUGUACCCAUUUUAUAAACAAUUGAAUUACCAUUUUAACUCAGACACUUUUAUUUUUGUUGCAUUGAUAAUUACAAUUUCUAAGUUCUUUGUAAGGAAGUUGCAUCUACUAAGGACCUACUCCAUUAGUCAUAUUCAUAGCAACCACACUGAAUCACAUUUGUAUUUAUGAAAUAAAGUGCGCAUUUUUUGCUGCUCCCUUAA